UUUAACUCUUAUAUCUUUUAGAUUUAUGUUUACUAGAAGCCAUGGAUGUGAAAGUAUGUAAAAUUAUAAGACUCUGGGAAGACAGACUGAGAAUAGAGGAGAAAUAAUCUGCCAUGUUGUUAGCUCCCCUGUGAGGAGACCCAUGUGAUGAGGAACUGAGGCCUGACAACAGUCAGAAGAGUGGGCUUGGAAGUGGAUCCUUAAGCUCCAAACCUUGAGAUGAUCAGUUUAGCUGUACCCUGAUCCUUGACCCUGAGGAAUUGUUUCAGAAGAAACUACCUUAAUGAAGAAACAGAAGGGA
rnacentral:lncRNA from 1 species